rnacentral:rRNA from 1 species
AACGAACGCUGGCGGCAUGCCUAACACAUGCAAGUCGAACGUGACCUUCGGGUCUAGUGGCGCACGGGUGCGUAACGCGUGGGAACCUGCCCUUAGGUUCGGAAUAACUCCCCGAAAGGGGUGCUAAUACCGGAUAAUGUCUUCGGACCAAAGAUUUAUCGCCUUUGGAUGGGCCCGCGUUGGAUUAGCUAGUUGGUAGGGUAAAAGCCUACCAAGGCGACGAUCCAUAGCUGGUCUGAGAGGAUGAUCAGCCACACUGGGACUGAGACACGGCCCAGACUGGGACGGAGGGGUGGAGAAGGGUGUAUUAGAGGAGGAAGGAUGACGUAGUAAAGCAAUGCGGCGGAAGAGAUGAAGGCGUUAGGAUAGUAAAGCCGUUUGAGCCGAGAUGAUAGUGACGGUACCGGGUAAAUAAGCACCGGCUAACUCCGUG